AUUGAACGCUGGCGGCAGGCCUAACACAUGCAAGUCGAACGAGUGGCGGACGGGUGAGUAAUGUCUGGUAAACUGCCUGAUGGAGGGGGAUAACUACUGGAAACGGUAGCUAAUACCGCAUACCAUCGGAUGUGCCCAGAUGGGAUGAGCUAGUAGGUGGGGUAACGGCUCACCCAGGCGACGAUCCCUGGCUGGUCUGACAGGAUGACCAGUCAAAGUGAAACUGCGACACGGUCCAGACUCCUAGGGGAGGCAGCAGUGGGGAAUAUUGCACAAUGGUCGCACGCCUGAGACAGCCAUGCCGCGUGUAUGAAGAAGGCCUUCGGGUUGUAAAGUACUUUCAGCGGGGAGGCGUUACCCGCAGAAGAAGCACCGGAUAACUCCGUGCCAGCCGCCGCGGUAAUAC
rnacentral:rRNA from 1 species